CACGUAGGCGGCUUCGUAAGUCAGGGGUGAAAUCCCACGGCUCAACCGUGGAACUGCCUUUGAAACUGCAAAGCUUGAAUCCUGGAGAGGGUGGCGGAAUUCCUGGUGUAGGAGUGAAAUCCGUAGAUAUCAGGAGGAACACCGGUGGCGAAGGCGGCCACCUGGACAGGCAUUGACGCUGAGGUGCGAAAGUGUGGGGAGCAAACA
rnacentral:rRNA from 1 species